rnacentral:rRNA from 1 species
UACGUAGGGCGCAAGUGUUAUCCGGAAUUAUUGGGCGUAAAGAGCUCGUAGGCGGUUUGUCGCGUCUGCUGUGAAACCCGAGGCUCAACCUCGGGCCUGCAGUGGGUACGGGCAGGCUAGAGUUCGGUAGGGGAGACUGGAAUUCCUGGUGUAGCGGUGAAAUGCGCAGAUAUCAGGAGGAACACCGAUGGCGAAGGCAGGUCUCUGGGCAUUAACUGACGCUGAGGAGCGAAAGCAUGGGGAGCGAACAGG